AAUAUCUCUAAGGCGCGCACCAUUUGAUUCAGCUGAAUUGUUGGUUUUUCUUCUGCGAUAUCUGUCGGUUGGUGCUGUGUUCUGAAUUGAAAUAUACUGUCGUAACUAAGAGAUAGUCAUUAAGUUUUCAGUCGGAACGUUAAAUUGUAAGAACGAGAAAGUAUAGUUAAAAAAACAAGUCACUUUCAUCAGGGGACAGCAUGCAGGAGGGCUCCAGCCGCAGUCCCAGCUACACAGUGACAUGUGAGGACUAUGUUCAUGUGGUAGAGUUCAGUCCUUUCAGCUCUGGCACCCCUGCCUCUCUCCUGGCCUAUGGUGGAAACCAGUAUGUGGUAGUGGGCACCUGCCUCUUCCAGGAGGAGGGUAUGGAGAUUGAAGGAGUUGAAUUCAAUGUUCUUCGGGCUUUUCAUCAUGAAUUGCGUGUUGAUGCUCUUGCCUGGAGUCCUGACUCUCGGCUGGACAGGAUACCCACUAUCAGAUUUUGUACUGCUGCAGCUGACAGAAGGCUGCGCCUGCUGACUUCAGAUCUUCAGGAUAGACAUGAAGUCAAGGUGAUGGAGGGCCACACCAGCUACAUUAACCAUUUGGUGUUCGAACCUACAGAGGGGAAACAAAUUGCUUCCGUCAGUGAUGACCACACUUGCAGGUUGUGGGACCUGGAUGGAAAUGAAAAUACUGUUCUAAGACUUCGCUCCCCUGGCAUCAGUGUGUGCUGGCACCCAGAGGAAGUCUUUAAGUUAAUGGUGGCAGAGAAGAAGGGGACAAUUCGCUUCUACGACCUGGUGACCCAUCAGGCUAUUUUGUCACUGGACUGCGGCCAGUCACCGCUCAUGUCGGCCGACUGGUGCCUCACCAACACAAUCAAAGUUGGGGCUGUGGCGGGCAGUGACUGGCUCAUUUGGGACAUAACUCGCUCCAGUUACCCUCAAGAAAAAAGACCAGCCCACAGAGAUAAAGCAAGCCUAAUCAAGUGGUCUCGAGCCAAUGAAAACCUCUUUGCCACCACUGGAUGUCCAGGAAAGAUCAGUAGUCAGUUACUCAUCCACCAUCUUGGCCAUCCACAGCCGGUGACAAUCGGGUCAGCUACAGUAGGAUCGGGCCUCAGCUGGCACCGGACACUCCCACUCUGUGUGAUCGGUGGUGACAGGAAACUUUGCUUUUGGAUGACUGAAAUGUAGACAUCUGUACAGCAUUUUCCUUGGUGGAUAACUAGGUCAGGUCAGCAGCAGAUAAACAGCAUCCUGGUCUUGUUUCCAGAAGAGCUAUAGUUGGGUCUUUGGUGCCAACGCUCCACUCACCAGUUUCCAUUAUCAUCGUACCACAGGAAGGCAGACACGUCUCCGAGCUGAGGGAUGCGAUCCUCUCCGUAGCCACACUCCUCCUCCAGCUGCUGCAGCCCGUCCAGGAACUGCCUGCAGGCCAGACUGGGGUAGAUGCUCCGCAGCCCCUGGUAAACCUCCCUCCUUUAAACACAACAUCACACCAUUGUACUUUAACCGGCCUCCACUGUGU